rnacentral:rRNA from 1 species
GGGAUAACAUCGGGAAACCGGUGCUAAUACCGCAUAAUGCAGCGGUCACGCAUGUGGCAGUUGUUAAAGAAUUUCGGCAGAAGAUGGGCCUGCGUGUCAUUAGUUAGUUGGUAAGGUAACGGCUUACCAAGACGAUGAUGACUAGGGGGUCUGAGAGGAUGAUCCCCCACACUGGAACUGAGACACGGUCCAGACUCCUACGGGAGGCAGCAGUGAGGAAUCUUGCGCAAUGGGGGAAACCCUGACGCAGCCACGCCGCGUGCCAGAUGAAGGCCCUACGGGUCGUAAAUGGCUUUUGGUCGGGAAGAUAAGCCGGGUUUCGACCUGGUGUGACGGUACCGACUGAAUAAGCACCGGCUAACUCCGUGCCAGCAGCCGCGGUAAUACGGAGGGUGCAAGCGUUGUCCGGAAUCAUUGGGUGUAAAGGGUGCGUAGGCGGAUGCCUAAGUCUGGGGUGAAAUCUUGCAGCUUAACUGUAAAAUUGCCUUGGAUACUGGGUGUCUUGAGUACAGAAGAGGAUGGUGGAAUUCGUAGUGUAGCGGUGAAAUGCAUAGAUAUUACGAAGAACACCGGUGGCGAAAGCGGCCAUCUGGUCUGUUACUGACGCUGAGGCACGAAAGCGUGGGGAGCGAACAGGAUUAGAUACCCUGGUAGUCCACGCCGUAAACGAUGUGUGCUAGUUGUUGGCCUGUAUGGGCCAGUGACGUAGUUAACGCGCUAAGCACACCACCUGGGGAGUACGUUCGCAAGAAUGAAACUCAAAGGAAUUGACGGGGGCCCGCACAAGCGGUGGAGCAUGUGGCUUAAUUCGAUGCAACGCGAAGAACCUUACCUGGGCUAAAUCAUAGUGGAAAUAGCUAGAAAUAGCUAUGCCUUCGGG